AUCAAUUAAAUAUAAUUUACAGUUCAAUAAAAUCCUGUUUAAAUUACAAUUAUUUACAAAUGUUGAGUAAUAAUAACAUGAAAAGGUAUCUACUAACUAGUGAAGUUGAACAGAGAAGGCAUGGUAGUAGUAUCACUGUAAAUGUUUUAGCACAUCCAGUGGCCACAAAAUCUAACUGGAAUAUGAUGAGUAAUUAUAUAAUUUAAUAGCAUGAGAAGAAGAUGGCCACAAAAAACAUAAUUUCAACUUCAAAUAGUAGAACUCCCCAAAAGAGUUGUUACUAACAAAUUUGGUACCAAUUUUAUGUACCGAUUCAUCGCCAAAUCCCAAUUUUUCCUCAGUCCCAAUUCAAUCCCUUUCCAACUCACAUACCCACAAACCAAAGGUUCCAAAAGUUUCAUCUUUUUCAUCCAAUCCUUCAAUGCCCUAAGCUCUAAGCGCUAACCUCAUUUUUCCCUCUUCUUUUGUUGCAGAAAUUCAGUGGUUUUCAUCUGUUCCCUGCAACCAGCAACCAGCAACCAGCAAUUACAAAUUGCAAAACAACAACAAACAUUAGUACAUUAUAAAACAUUCCAAAACAGAGCCAUCAGUAAAUUUGAACAAAAAUUUCAAAGUCAUCAGCAACUAGCAAUUACAAAACAGAGCCAUCAGUAAAUUUUUAAAAAAAAAAUUCACAGCCAUCAGCAAUCAGCAAUUACAACACACUAAAACAGAGCCAUCAGUAAAUUUGAACUAAAAUUUCACAACAACCAUCAAUUACAACACACUAAAAUAGAGCCAUCAGUAAAUUUGAACAAAAAUUUCAGUCAUCAGCAACCAGCAAACACAAACCAUUACAAGAAAAUUAGAACAAAAAUUUCAGAACUUAAAAUGAAGAAGGCCGAGCAUUCAGAAAUUAAAAGGAAGAAGCGGAGGCGAAGAAGUGAAAGCAGGGCCACUAACCUUCAACGGAGACACGGACGGUAACCGGCGAGACGAUGGCAAGUGGCGACCCGACGGCGAGCUGCUCCAAGCCACGAACAGAGAAGCCAGGGAAGAUGGGGACGACGUGCCGAGUUACCUGGGUUCCGGACAGGGGGAAGAGGAAGAAGCGGCGGCACUAAGAACCUGGGAACGGCGGCGGCAAGGAAGAAGCUAGGAUUUUGCUUUGCUUCAGAGAGGGCCAGGGGGUGCACCAAUGAUUGGGGGAAGACGGGGGAGAGGUCACGAAUCUNNNNNNNNNNNNNNNNNNNNNNNNNNNNNNNNNNNNNNNNNNNNNNNNNNNNNNNNNNNNNNNNNNNNNNNNNNNNNNNNNNUACAGAUAGUAUUUAUUUUGAAGUAUUGUUGGGGACGACAUUGUUUAUCUUUGAAGAUUUUGACAUUUGUGCUCAGUUUUGAUAAUUCUACUAAUGCGGUAUUAUAUUCAAGAUUCUGAAAAUCGGAUCGAUUAUCGAACUAUUCUAGUGACUGGUUUAUUGGUUUAUUGGUCCAACUAGUUUAACUGUGGUUCAACUAGAAUAACCGUUUUAUAAUAAAAUAAUAAAUAAAAUAUAAAUAAACACACUAAGAUUAACAAAAAUGAACUAUAUUUAACUAAGAUUAACAAAAUCAGCACAAUAAUUAACAUGCUUUAACAAAAAUUAACAGUUUUCAAAUCAAUUUUAACAAGUUCAGCACAAUGAUUAACAGGAAAAAAAAGGCACUAUAAGCACUGCCAUCUCUCCAAUUGCUUAAUAACCUCCUUUCCUUUCCAACAGCUUCAAAGUAAUCUCUAGCUCAUCCUACAAUAAGUUAUAUCAAUUAGAAAUGAUCAAAUCACAUUCAUUUUGUAUGCAAAAACAGUUUUAACAUGGAAAGCUUCAUUGCAAGAAUUCAAGUCGGUGUGCAGGUCCUCGAACAGCAAAUCAAUACAAGCAUUCAAGAAAAAGAAAGACAACACAUCAACAACACAACAAAGAAUCGAAGAAACAUUUAAAACACAGUAACAACACAACACCUAUAGAAACAUUUAAAACAAAGCAACAAAGAAAGAAAUAUCUAAGAAUUACCAUUGCUGAGAACAGUAACUUGAACGUGUAUGCUCAAAGAAUCAAAGGCUAAGCUUCCCUGGGAAAGUGAAGAACACCCAAACGAAGGAAACUUCAAUCACAGCUUAAACCAAAAUUCACAAUCCCUUUCAAUUGAAGCCACAAGCAACUUGAGAACUAAAGCAAGGUUAACAAGGUUAAGCAGUGAACUAAAUCGGCGUAAUUUUACCAAAGAUUAACUGAACUAAAUCAAUUAAUUAUUUAAUGAUUCAAUCCAAAACAAGAAAACCGUAUAAUAUAGCACAGGAGGAGCAGAGCUAAUUAAUGAUUUAAAUUUCAAUCUGAGUAGCAUUAAUAGAAUCCCAAAAAAAUUAAUAUUCUAGCAGAAUCUCAAAAAAAAAUCAUUGAAUCAAUGUUCUGAGCAAAGAUAAAAAAACCGAGAACGAAUUUUUUUAAAAAAAAUGAAGCCAUUGCCUUCGUGAGCUCGAGGAAGACGCACCAAUUGUUGAAUGAGGAAGAAGCGCGGAGCCACAGACGACCGGACGAAGACACGGUGGUGUUUGAGCGCAACGGACGGCGGCACUGAGUGAGUUCCUUGCGGCGGUGGGGGAGUAAACUUGGGUUUGUGUUUUGGGGGUGGGGGGCUGUAUACCUGUAUCUGACUGAGGAGGAUGAGAAGUGGGGAACCUGCGGUGCGCUGCUCGAGGGGAAGGAGAACGGGUUUCUUUUUUCUUUAAAGAAAGCGCAUAACGGCGAGCAGAGAGCAUAUGAAGACAACGGCUAGCACGACGGCAACAUGACGGACGCUCGAGGAGUAAGCUACGUGCCUGCGAUUGGUGAGUUUGAGAGCGAACAGGGGUUGGAGAGGGUUGCGGCGGAAGCUCGACGGACGGCGGCAAUGGCUCACUCCUUGCGGCAGCAGUGGAACUUAGAACCCUAAUUUUUGAACUUUGAAGCUUUGCUUUUCUGAUUUUGAAUGAGUC
rnacentral:lncRNA from 1 species